rnacentral:tRNA from 1 species
GACCGCGUAGCUCAGUUGGCAGAGCAUUGGGCUAGUAUUCCAAAGAUCGUAGGUUCGACUUCCACCGUGGCCA